rnacentral:rRNA from 1 species
UACGAAGGGUGCAAGCGUUGUUCGGAAUUACUGGGCGUAAAGCGCGUGUAGGCGGUGAUGUAAGUCGGGUGUGAAAGCCCUUGGCUUAACCAAGGAAGUGCACCCGAUACUGCGUUGCUUGAGUGUCGGAGGGGAUGGCGGAAUUCCCGGUGUAGAGGUGGAAUUCGUAGAUAUCGGGAGGAACACCUGUGGCGAAGGCGGCCACCUGGGACAAUACUGACACUGAGGUGCGAAAGCGUGGGGAGCAAACAGG